GCGGCCGCGUCUGAGGAUCAGUGGCACAGAGGCUGGUGACCAGUGGCAGUGAAGCAGCGUCGUGUGCCGGAGGGCGGAGGAAGGGUGGCCAACGCGCCGACGGCAGUGGGCCCAAGUUAGGCCGGGGUGGUGGAGCGCAUGUGACGCGAACGUGAGGAUCUGAGGAUGAUGGUGGCGGGUUUCUGCUUUGUAUCACGAAUAAAGCAAGCCAAGGCGGACGAGGUCAUCGCAGGUACUUUGUCACAACUGCUAUUGAUUUUUUUUCCCUUAGCUAUGAUAUACUAUACUAUAUCACAUACAGUAACAUAAACAAAUGUUACGACCCUUGUAAGAACAGAAUCUGGUGGAACGCAGUAUGACCGUAUUGUGGA
rnacentral:lncRNA from 7 species